GACGAACGCUGGCGGCGUGCUUAACACAUGCAAGUCGAACGGAAAGGCCCUGCUUUUGUGGGGUGCUCGAGUGGCGAACGGGUGAGUAACACGUGAGUAACCUGCCCUUGACUUUGGGAUAACUUCAGGAAACUGGGGCUAAUACCGGAUAGGAGCUCCUGCUGCAUGGUGGGGGUUGGAAAGUUUCGGCGGUUGGGGAUGGACUCGCGGCUUAUCAGCUUGUUAGUGGGGUAGUGGCUUACCAAGGCUUUGACGGGUAGCCGGCCUGAGAGGGUGACCGGCCACAUUGGGACUGAGAUACGGCCCAGACUCCUACGGGGGGCAGCAGUGGGGAAUAUUGCACAAUGGGCGGAAGCCUGAUGCAGCAACGCCGCGUGCGGGAUGACGGCCUUCGGGUUGUAAACCGCUUUCGCCUGUGACGAAGCGUGAGUGACGGUAAUGGGUAAAGAAGCACCGGCUAACUACGUG
rnacentral:rRNA from 1 species